UGGUGCCAGCAGCCGCGGUAAUUCCAGCUCCAAUAGCGUAUAUUAAAGUUGUUGCAGUUAAAAAGCUCGUAGUUGAAUUUCGGAAUCUGUCCGUUGGUCGGGCUUCAUUGUCCGUACUGGUGUGAUGGGUUCUUACCUUCUGAAUAACCAGCAUGCCAUUCAUUUGGUGCGUUGGGGAAGCAGGACUAUUACCUUGAAAAAAUUAGAGUGCUCAAAGCAGGCUAGCGCCUGAAUACAUUAGCAUGGAAUAAUAAAAUAGGACGGCAUGGUUCUAUUUUGUUGGUUUCUAGGAUCACCGUAAUGAUUAAUAGGGAUAGUUGGGGGCAUUAGUAUUCAAUUGUCAGAGGUGAAAUUCUUGGAUUUAUUGAAGACUAACUACUGCGAAAGCAUUUGCCAAGGAUGUUUUCAUUAAUCAAGAACGAAAGUUAGGGGAUCGAAGACGAUCAGAUACCGUCGUAGUCUUAACCAUAAACUAUGCCGACUAGGGAUCGGAUGAUGUUAAUUCUUUAAUGACUCAUUCGGCGCC
rnacentral:rRNA from 1 species